CUACCCGGAAGACUUUCACCCAUGCCCAGACCUAGCCAGACUAACCAGCUCUGUGCUGCCUCCUGAUCAGCAUGCUGGACUCACACUUCACUCUGCAACUGAAUAGAUUCCUGCCCCAGCUGGAGGACCUGGGGACCAGUGAGGAUAAGCCCAAGGCAGUGCCAGUUACAAUCUCACUAAAUGUUGACAGUGAGAAUUGACAACUGAGACAGAACGCAGGAAUGUCGCGUGACUCCCUCCACCACCCCCGACACAAACUGAGAAUGGGAUGCUCCACAUCUCGGCCACUAAAGAAGUACGAACUACAAACACAGUGGGAUUUCCCUCACUCCCACUGCAGCACCUGUCAUCAGCGUUACGUAAGGGAAUGAGUGUUGGGACAUUUCAGCAGCUGCCAAGAACACCUCUGUACCCUGAAAACUUUCUCUUUUUUCCCAUCUGCUGCGUCCACUGCCUACAACUGCUUUUGUUUAUUCAAGGAAAAUGAUUUGGGGAGCUCUGAUCUGGUAAACUUCCAAGUUCCAAGUUCCAUCUGACUUGGAGCUCAUGGGCUCUGCCUGUUUUCUCACUGGAAAUGCACUCCAAGGAUGUACUCUCUCCACAGUCUGAACCUCUGUUAGGUCAUUUAUCAGUGCCAUUUUGGUGAGGUAAGGACCUUCCCUAGUUAGGCCAUUCAGACCUGUUGCAGGGGCACUGUCAUUCAGACCUGUCAUUUUGGGGCACUGAUUGCUGUGAGAAGAGAUUAAGAAGUAAGAAAAUUUCCAGCCAUUUGUUUUGGUUUGGUUUGGUUUAGAAUAGUCCUUUAUUUAGGUCUGCUUUGAUACAUUUUCUUUAACCUUUCUCUUCCUAUAAUCACCUUUAUUCUAGGAUGAGCAGCAGACGUUCAUUCAGUAUCAUCUAAAGUUGUGUAAACUAUUUGGGCUUCAAGUCAUUCUGAGGCUUCUUUGUGAGCCAGUACAGAGUUCACGGUUCUUGAACCACUUGUCAACAAGAAAAACGCUUUUAAAAUUGAAGAAAAAAAUUUAAAACUGCUAGUGUUUAAAAAGCUCUGUUAUGAACUACUCAAAAGUGAAAAUCCUUGUGCUGUUCUGAAGCUCCCUAAUAAAGUCUUAGUUACCUGUAACUUUAAAAUGGUGAUUUUAUUGUGAUACACCGUGACAUGUAUAA